rnacentral:rRNA from 1 species
GACGAACGCUGGCGGCGUGCUUAACACAUGCAAGUCGAACGGAGAGGCCCUGCUUUUGUGGGGUGCUCGAGUGGCGAACGGGUGAGUAACACGUGAGUAACCUGCCCUUGACUUUGGGAUAACUUCAGGAAACUGGGGCUAAUACCGGAUAGGAGCUCCUGCUGCAUGGUGGGGGUUGGAAAGUUUCGGCGGUUGGGGGUGGACUCGCGGCUUAUCAGCUUGUUGGUGGGGUAGUGGCUUACCAAGGCUUUGACGGGUAGCCGGCCUGAGAGGGUGACCGGCCACAUUGGGACUGAGAUACGGCCCAGACGCCUACGGGAGGCAGCAGUGGGGAAUAUUGCACAAUGGGCGGAAGCCUGAUGCAGCAACGCCGGGUGCGGGAUGACGGCCUUCGGGUGGUAAACGGCUUUCGCCUGUGACGAAGCGUGAGUGAGGGUAAUGGGUAAAGAAGCACCGGCAAACUACGG